rnacentral:tRNA from 1 species
GGGGACGUGGUGUAGUGGUUUAACACAUCUCCCUGUCACGGAGAAGAUCGCCGGUUCAAAUCCGGUCGUCCCCGCCU